rnacentral:rRNA from 1 species
AAGUCGUAACAAGGUUUCCGUAGGUGAACCUGCGGAAGGAUCAUUAAUGAAACAUGAGAUUUCGGGUGGUUGAUGCUGGUCCCGCGAGGGAUACCGUGCUCGCCCCUGUCUUCUCCUUCAUUCAUCUACCCCUAUCUGUGCACCCUAUGUGGGCGGAGAUAUUCGGCCUGCGCAUUUCUAUACACUCCAUUAAACGUUCAAUGNAUGAAUCAUUCGAGCUUCGUCUCGGAUAUAAUCUAAUACAACUUUCAACAACGGAUCUCUUGGCUCUCGCAUCGAUGAAGAACGCAGCGAAAUGCGAUAAGUAAUGUGAAUUGCAGAAUUCAGUGAAUCAUCGAAUCUUUGAACGCACCUUGCGCCCCUUGGUAUUCCGAGGGGCAUGCCUGUUUGAGUGUCAUUAAAUUAUCAACCCGAAAAGCUUUCGCUCUCUUCGGUGCUUGGACUUUGGAGUUGUGCAGGUCACUUAGAUCUGCUCCUCUUGAAAUGCAUUAGUGGUACCUUAUGGCUGACCCACCCUGGCGUGAUAAUUAUCUACGUCGCGGUAGCGAAGCUUAACUUCCGCUCACAACCGUCGCAGCUCGCGACAACUCUAUGACAAUUUUGACCUCAGAUCAGGUAGGAUUACCCGCUGAACUUAAGCAUAUCAAUAAGCGGAGGAAAAGAAACUAACAAGGAUUCCCCUAGUAACUGCGAGUGAAGCGGGAAAAGCUCAAAUUUAAAAUCUGGCGGUCCUCGCGGCUGUCCGAGUUGUAAUCUAGAGAAGCGUCAUCCGUGCCGGUCCGCGUACAAGUCUCUUGGAAUAGAGCGUCAUAGAGGGUGAGAAUCCCGUCUCUGCCGCGGACUACCGGUGCAUUGCGAUGCGCUCUCGACGAGUCGAGUUGUUUGGGAAUGCAGCUCAAAAUGGGUGGUAAAUUCCAUCUAAAGCUAAAUAUUGGCGAGAGGCCGAUAGCGAACAAGUACCGUGAGGGAAAGAUGAAAAGAACUUUGGAAAGAGAGUUAAACAGUACGUGAAAUUGUUGAAAGGGAAACGCUUGAAGUCAGUCGCGUCUAUUGGGGAUCAGCCUUCUCUCGAGUCGGCGUACUUCCCAGUCGACGGGUCAGCAUCGAUUUCAUUCGUCGGAAAAAGGCGAGGGGAAUGUGGCAUCUCCGGAUGUGUUAUAGCCCUUCGUCGCAUGCGACGGAUGGGAUCGAGGUAUUCAGCGCGCCGCAAGGCCGGGGUUCGCCCACGUCCGCGCUUAGGAUGCUGGCAUAAUGGCUUUAAUCGACC